CAAGAAUCCUCCCAGAUUCGGUAUGUGGGAGCCCAUACUCCUUUCACUGGCCCAUAGGCCUGGGAGGAGCACUGUGAGCACCAGCAUCUCCAAUCAGAGAAUUUCCAAGCACAUCUCCAUGGUCACAAACCAGAUGGUACGCCUGAAGCAUCCAUAAGGGCGGUGGGCCAAGCCUAGUGUUGAAGAUCUUUCCAAACGGCCAUUAGCUGGUCGCUCAGAAAAUCCCGCACCUCAGAACAAGCCAGAUCCCACCGCAAUGCCUUCCCUGCUUCAGCGAUGCUUAAGAGCAUUUUCUCAGUUAAGCAUGGGCCAGAGAACUAAGAGUGGAGACUACAUAUAAUUCGUCCACUACAGCCCGAAUACUGUUUAUCUGUGCCCUGGAAAUAAGUCUAUGGCCUGGGUCAAUUGGCCCAAUUUUCAUCAUUCUGUUGGGUUUUUUUUAUAAAUAUUGUAAACAGAAGCAACACUAUUUUCCCAACCCAUAAGGAGCCAGCUAAGACCCUCCUUUGGCGGGAGGAUGCACCCCAAGUCUGUACCAACCCAAGGGCAGCCCCUUGGGAGCAAGUGGGGCUGAUAGCAAUAAUCUGGAAGUGGGAUAAGGGCAGGAAGACUUCACAGUUCCCAGGGUAGCAUUUAAUCAAAUUUACCCUGCCUGGGAUUAAGUAUGGUCCAUUUGAACCAGGGGGUUCGUUAUACGGGAGGGAGAAUACUAUAACAAGGUACAGGCUAUGUUUGUUGGUUACCGGAAUAGCCUCUAAGCCGAAAAUAUUUUUGUGGUCAGAUAAGUCCUGUGGAUAUAUGUUCAGUUGUUUCCUAGUGAGGCUACUGAUUGGCUAAGAUUAAGAAAAAUAUUACUUUUUCAUCCCCACCCCAAGUUCAUUAAGGAAGAGAGGUUAAAGAACAUUAAAAGUUUCAUUUUUCAGGUAGUUUUGGCUAGCCUC